GGAAUUUUCCGCAAUGGGCGAAAGCCUGACGGGGCAAUACCGCGUGAGGGAAGACGGCCUAUGGGUUGUAAACCUCUUUUCUCAGGGAGGAAAUCAAUGACGUGUACCUGAGGAAUAAGCAUCGGCUAACUCCGUGCCAGCAGCCGCGGUAAUACGGGAGUGGCAAGCGUUAUCCGGAAUUAUUGGGCGUAAAGCGUCCGCAGGCGGCCCUUCAAGUCUGCUGUUAAAAAGUGGAGCUUAACUCCAUCGUGGCAGUGGAAACUGUUGGGCUAGAGUGUGGUAGGGGCAGAGGGAAUUCCCGGUGUAGCGGUGAAAUGCGUAGAUAUCGGGAAGAACACCAGUGGCGAAGGCGCUCUGCUGGGCCAUAACUGACGCUCAUGGACGAAAGCCAGGGGAGCGAAAGGGAUUAGAUACCCCAGUAGUC
rnacentral:rRNA from 1 species